ensembl:snoRNA SNORD116 Small nucleolar RNA SNORD116
GGAUCAAUCAUGAGUCCCCUGUUAAAACAUUCCUUGGAAAAGCUGAACAAAAUGAGUGAAACUCACUACCGCCUCGCUCGUUGGAACUGAGGUCC